GUCUGCACGCCGUGCGAUGCUCGGCGAAAUUUCCAUUCAUUCAUUACGGAGUUUUCAUGGCAACUGGGAUCGUCAAGUGGUUCAACGAUGCAAAAGGUUUCGGAUUCAUUACGCCCGAUGACGGCGGCAAGGAUCUGUUUGCGCAUUUCUCGGAAAUUCAGGGCAAUGGUUUCAAGUCCCUGCAAGAGAGCCAGCGUGUAGAGUUCGUGGUUGCACAGGGCAGCAAGGGCCCGCAGGCAACCCAGAUCCGCGCAAUCUAGUAUCUGUGCUUUGCAGGCCGCGGCAACCGCCGCGGCCUGUUGC
rnacentral:misc_RNA from 1 species